GGGAGUUUUAGUAUUGCAGAGAAGGAGAAGGAGUUGAACCGAGCAAAGAUUCUAUCCACACACAACAUUAUCUGAAGGUCCAGAUGACUUCUGAGACUACCCUCUCCCCAUUUCUAGGACUUAUGUCUCUCUUGUUCCCUUCCCAGGUUUGUUACGGCAAUGAAUGUGUGUCUGUUAAAACUGCCUUUGGCUAAUCUGGGUGUGACGGCAAGUGCUCAGGAAAUGGGGUACCAGUGACCAAGACCUAGAUGACCCUCCUCAUACUGAAUACUUUAAUGGAAUGGACACAAUGUAGAGGCUGAUCAACUGGUCCGAACCAAGAAUUGCUUAGAUUUUAGUGUAAAGAAUCAUUUUUAUUUAGAAACACAAACAAUAAAAAUAUAUAACACUCACAAAA